rnacentral:rRNA from 1 species
UACGAAGGGGGCUAGCGUUGUUCGGAAUUAUUGGGCGUAAAGAGCGUGUAGGCGGUUCGGUAAGUCUGCUGUGAAAUCCUGGGGCUCAACCCCGGGCGUGCAGCGGAUACUGCCGGGCUAGAGGGUGGUAGAGGCGAGUGGAAUUCCGAGUGUAGCGGUGAAAUGCGCAGAUAUUCGGAGGAACACCAGUAGCGAAGGCGGCUCGCUGGGCCACACCUGACGCUGAGACGCGAAAGCGUGGUGAGCGAACAGG